rnacentral:rRNA from 1 species
AAGGGCACCACAAGAACGCGUGGAGCAUGUGGCUUAAUUUGACUCAACGCGGGAAAUCUUAUCAGGUCCAGAUACGCUGAGGAUUGACAGUAGUAUCGAUUUAUAGAACUUUCAUAAUUACGUAAUGAGUGGUGCAUGGCCGUUCUUAGUUCGUGGAUUAUUCUGUCGGCUUAAUUGCGUCGCCUCUUAAUUCGACUCGUGGGUUUCAAUUAUACCACGUAUCGACUGGCGAUGCAACGAACGUGACCGCAAUGCGUAGUAACGACUAACUAAUAACUACGCAGACAACUAACUAACUAUACUUAAAACCAACGCGCAAGGUUGUGGCAAUAACAGGUCUGUGAUGCCCUUAGAUGUUCUGGGCCGCACACGUGCUACAUUCGUUAUAGUAGUAGCAACGCGCGUAUCGAUAUUAAACGUACCGAGUCGAUAUUAAACAUAUUUUUACACGCCUGCAGGGACUGGUUAUUGUAGCAUACGAAAAUCAAAAUUAUUGACCACCGCCUCAACCAGGAAUGCCUCGUAUCGUUAUGUCAAUAAUCGUAACUAGAAUACGUCCCUGCCCUUUGUACACACCGCCCGUCGCUCUUACCGAUGGUAUUUGUUUGUAGCGCGGUUACGAGUGGAGUCGACCUACGAGUCUGCGCGUCAAACCAAUACUAAAGGAAAGAGAAGUCGUAACAAGGCAUCAGUAGGUGAACCUGCAGAAGGAUCA